rnacentral:rRNA from 1 species
GAGGUUGUUCCCUUGAGGAGUGGCUUCCGGAGCUAACGCGUUAAGUCGACCGCCUGGGGAGUACGGCCGCAAGGUUAAAACUCAAAUGAAUUGACGGGGGCCCGCACAAGCGGUGGAGCAUGUGGUUUAAUUCGAUGCAACGCGAAGAACCUUACCUGGCCUUGACAUCCACGGAAUUUGGCAGAGAUGCCUUAGUGCCUUCGGGAACCGUGAGACAGGUGCUGCAUGGCUGUCGUCAGCUCGUGUUGUGAAAUGUUGGGUUAAGUCCCGCAACGAGCGCAACCCUUAUCCUUUGUUGCCAGCGAUUCGGUCGGGAACUCAAAGGAGACUGCCGGUGAUAAACCGGAGGAAGGUGGGGAUGACGUCAAGUCAUCAUGGCCCUUACGGCCAGGGCUACACACGUGCUACAAUGGCGUAUACAAAGAGAAGCGAACUCGCGAGAGCAAGCGGACCUCAUAAAGUACGUCGUAGUCCGGAUCGGAGUCUGCAACUCGACUCCGUGAAGUCGGAAUCGCUAGUAAUCGUGGAUCAGAAUGCCACGGUGAAUACGUUCCCGGGCCUUGUACACACCGCCCGUCACACCAUGGGAGUGGGUUGCAAA